AGUACUAAUGUACAUUUCGAAAAAAUGGCUAAUUAUGUUUUGACAUUUUAACGAACAUAACCUUAUUUUUACUCUUUUUUUUUAGCAGUUUGUAAUCGUAUUCAUAUAAUCCAAAUCAUAUUAAUACAAAGAAUGGAUACUACAGACGAAAUAGAUUUAAAAUUACUUUUCAAAUAUCCUUUAAUGUCUAAAACUGAAUACGAGGAUUCAAUAAUGUAUAAAGGAUUGAUUGAAAUUAACAAUGAAGAUUUCGAAAUUAUUGUCAAACAAACUUUCCAAAAUAAAUUUCUUUUGCUAAAAAAUCUCGAUUUUGUAGAUCAACAAGUUAUAAACAAUAUACAAGAAACAGCUUCAGAUAUAGUAACGUUUCUAGAUUUUAUUGAAAAGCAUAUUUCUACUAAAGUACUUUCAAAAGUACCAUUAAACAAUUGUGAUAUUUACAAACAAAUUUUAUACGAAUAUUCAGAAUUUUCAAACUAUUACCUCAAUUUGAAAGACUGUUAUCUAGCGUACGAUUUAAGUAAAAUUACUGCAACUAUGGUGGAUGAAUCGAAUAGAGAACAUAAAAUCGAAAUACGCGUUAAUUAUAAUGAUAAAAAGAAUAUUUUCGAAAUAAUUGAAUAUGAUUUACCUUGUGGUCGAGAUAAAUUCCAAAAAUCAUCAAAUUUGAAAAUGGUGUAUAAUCAAUUUGCACAAAUCGUCGAAACUUUGCAAUUAUAUUUCAACCUUAUGGAAGAUUUUGACAAAAGUUGCCACAUUUUAGAUCCUAUACCACAAAAUAGAAGGUACAACUAUAGGAGAAUUUGGUUAGAUGAGACUGUUUCAAUUAUAAUAACCGUGGAUCCGUUUUGUCUCUGUGCUCUACCUAAUAUUGUAUUUCUAGGUCCUGAAAGGAUAGUAGAAGCAUAUAGAUCGACGAUGAACAAUAAUUUAGAAAAUUGGGAUCCUACCAAUUACAUUUUUUCAGAAAUACUCAAAUUAAUAGACACAUUUAUAAAAUGGGUAGAUAAAAGAGGAUUGGAAAGUCCCAAUAGGAGAUUUGUGGGAAAAACAAGGACAAACUUUGAACCAGAACUCUAAUUCAAUACACUUGAAGAGGUAUAUAAAAAAGAGAAUUUCGGCUUCACAAAUAAAAUCACUUCUGAUUUCCCAUUGAAGUAUUGAACACAUUAGAUUGAUGAAAAAAAUUGGUUAAUGUCGGUAAAUGCAAGAAGAUUCUUCUCAGAAGUAGUAGGAAGUUGUCCGAAUUGCGAAAAGAACAUUUCCUGUCCGAUCCCGAAUUAACAGGACUGUGAAGAUACCACAUUAAUACUAAAACAAAUAUUUACACUCCUAAAAAUACUCGAAUUAUAUUCAUCCUGUAUAUAAAAAGUAAAAAAAAUAUUAUACACAUUAAUGAA